rnacentral:rRNA from 1 species
UAGGGAAUCUUCGGCAAUGGACGAAAGUCUGACCGAGCAACGCCGCGUGAGUGAAGAAGGUUUUCGGAUCGUAAAACUCUGUUGGUAGAGAAGAACGUUGGUGAGAGUGGAAAGCUCAUCAAGUGACGGUAACUACCCA